rnacentral:rRNA from 1 species
GACGAACGCUGGCGGCGUGCUUAACACAUGCAAGUGGUGCGACGAACCAGGGCUUGCCCUGGGGCAAAGCCGCGAACGGGUGAGUAACACGUGAGUAACCUGCCCCGAUGACCGGGACAACCCGAGGAAACUCGGGCUAAUACCGGAUGUGGCGCACAGGCAUAAGCCUGUUCGCUAAAGGAAGCUUCGGCCUCCGCAUUGGGAGGGGCUCGCGGCCCAUUAGCUUGUUGGUGGGGUCAUGGCCUACCAAGGCGACGAUGGGUAGCUGGUCUGAGAGGACGAUCAGCCACACUGGGACUGAGACACGGCCCAGACUCCUACGGGAGGCAG